rnacentral:misc_RNA from 1 species
AAGUCGUAACAAGGUUUCCGUAGGUGAACCUGCGGAAGGAUCAUUACAGUGUUCGCUGCCCCUCGGGGUAGCAAACCUCACCCUUGUGUAUUAUAUCUUUGUUGCUUCGGCACGCCGCCUCCGGGCACUGGCUCCGGCUAGCUAGCGCGUGCCAAAGGACCUAAAACUCUGAAUGUUAGUGUCGUCUGAGUACUAUCUAAUAGUUAAAACUUUCAACAACGGAUCUCUUGGUUCUG